GACUAGAGAGUAAGGACUAGAGAGUAGGGACUAGAGAGUAGGGACUAGAGAGUAGGGAAUAGAGAAGAGGGGCUGGAGAGUAGAGAGUAUGGGCUAGAGAGCAGGGACUAGAGAGUAGAGAGAAGGGGAUAGAGAGUAGGGGCUAGAGAGUAGGGGAUGGAGAGUAGGGACUAGAAAGUAGGGACUAGAAAGUAGGGGAAACAGAGUAGGGGUUGGAGAGUAGAGAGUAUGGGCUAGAGAGCAGGGACUAGAGAGUAGAGAGUAGGGGAUAGAGACUGGGGGAUAGAGAGUAGGGGUUGGAGAGUAGGGACUAGAGAGUAGGGGACAGAGAGUUGGAACUAGAGAGUAGGGGAUAGAGAGUAGAGAGUAGGGACUAGAGAGUAGGGGUUGGAGAGUAGGGACUGGAGAGUAGGGGUUGGAGAGUAGGGUCUAGAGAGUAGGGACUAGAGAGUAGGGACUAGAGACUGGGGGAUAGAGAGUAGGGGUUGGAGAGUAGGGACUAGAGAGUAGGGGAUAGAGAGUAGGGACUAGAGAGUAGGGGACAGAGAGUUGGAACUAGA
ensembl:lncRNA